GUCAAGGCCCAGCUCAGCAGUCUCAACCUCAGUCAUCAUCCGACUCAACCAUAGCCUCCUCACCUGACCCGAUUUCUGAGUCUGAGUCACUCAGGUUGUGCUCUAGCACAUUUCCAGAGCCGCGCCCAUUCUGCCUGGCGCGGAAAGGCUCUUUUGCGUGGGUGGCACACGCUUUCUGGGGCGACCGUAGGUACGCCAGUCAUAACAGUUCUGGAG